GUCAAUAUAGUUUAAGAAAAACACUAGAUUGUGAAUCUAGUAAUAGGAGUUUAACUCUCCUUAUUCACC
rnacentral:tRNA from 1 species